GUGUGACUCUAGGUUUUGUUGUGUGUUUCAGAGAAACUGUUUGAGGACACGAGCAGCAGAGGGGACGUCACAGGAUGGUUUUUUAGUGGAUUAUCUUUAGGAGCUCUACCUCUGGCAGUUCUAUCUUCACUUGUAGCUACAAAGUUCAUCACAGUACGCUGUAAUAAAGGAGCAGCUGAAGAGAGACCGGAAACCAGGGAGAGAGACAUGAUGACAUGCAGCACAGGAUCCGAACUUGUGUAAUCCAACCUGUGCGCUACACCAGGUUCUUGUGUGCAGACGCACAGUCGUUGUAAAGAUCCUACAGAGGUCGUGUAAAGGUGUGUGUGAAUGAAUCAUGCAUAUUAGUUUCAAACUUUCAAAAACCAUUUAAACAGCAGGGAAAACAUGAAAAAUGAUCUGCAUAUUGUAGACAAAGGGUAAACACUAGAGUCUCCUCAGUCCAGUCCAGAAGUUCAGCAUUUACACUCGUUACACUGUCUCCACCCAGUGGACAUGUGAUUGUUUUUCUGCACAGGAUUGAACACUUAGAAUAAGGAGCCUGUCUCCAGUGCGAUGACGUGAGCGCGGGUUUGUUUCAGCUAAAAUGCACGGAAUGUAAUGUGUUAUAGUAAAACUGUUUUUUACACACUACUGCACCAUUUCAUUCACUGUCAUUCAUGACAACGAAUGAAUUGAGGCUAAGCUUUAAUUUUUUGUGGAAUGAACACAGAUCGAGAAUAUUUGUGUCUGACUUGGUGUGAAAAAUCAUUAAUGAAUAUUCUAGCUCUGUUUUGUUUCCGGUGUGAAACGGUCUUUAAUCAGCUAGAUAUGGGACAUGACUGGUCUUAGGCCCGCUAAACACUGUAUUUCAUCGCUUUAAUGUGAAUUUUGUUUUUUCUUAGAAUGAAUGUAAAGAAAAAUAUUACUUUUGUUUUGUUGUUGAAGUUUUUGUUGAAAUACAGGAUUGUCUUUUUACAGUUUAACACUAAUGGUCGUUGGCUCAUAAGUAUUGAAUGUGAUCAUAUCGCUCUGCAUCCAUUAUGUAAAAACUGAUGUGUUUUAUGUUUAUAGUUUGUAAUAACACAUUUAAAUCAUUGACCCAUGUUUGCCAGGGAGUUAAAUGUGCUCAGGAGUUUUCUUUUGAAAAAGUAAUUUAUUAUAUUUGUAUUAUGUUUUUACGUCUACUUGACGUCAAACCAACAUGUUGAAUGUUAUUUUCUCAGGAAACAUUUUCAAAGCUGAAUUAAAGAUCAUAUAAAAGUGCUCUUAUUGGAAUAAUAGUUAAACUGAUGUAGCACAGUUGUCUUUAUUUUUUGUGGAAGUUACUCGGUUCACCAGGUGAAGUAGUGACGGAACGCUGCUCCAGUUCUGUUCACCUUUAUUUCCUGUCACCAACUGCUGUUGAAUAAAAGCAUUAAUGUCAUACAAACA